AAGCCCAUCAGAUGAUGAGUGAGUCAAGUCUUCUCUUCUCAUCGGAAAUCUGAAGUGCUGAGAAAGAAUACCCAUAAGUGAAUAGGUUGAUUCGUGUGAAAUUCAGUUACCUUAGGAAUGAAUUUCAGAAGAAAGUGAAGGGAAACCUCCUCCUUAUGAAAUGUGUUUUGUCAGAACUGCCCUAAGCGCUCCCAGUUCACUCACCCUUUUGGCUGAUUGAUGACAACUACAAAGGUGACCUUCAUGGAGAAGUAGGACCUAGAGCAGGUGGCUAGCAGUUCAUAGGGAGGUCUGUGUUGUUGUAGCCAUGCUGGUCCCAUGAUAGGAAGACAAGAUAGGUGAGGUAAUAUCUUUUAUUCAACCAAUGUCUGUUGGUGAAGGAGACAAGCUUUUGGGCUACAAAGAAUUCUUCUUCAGCGUGUGUAGGUGCUGGGAAUGGAGGAGUAUUGAAGUAGGUGCAGGUGGGAAGGAAGUACUAUUGAGAUGGGGACAGAAAAGGGCAGUACCUAACUUCAGACUGCGACAGAGAGUGGAAGUCCUGUGUGCCCUACCAUUGCUCACACUGGAAGAUUCAGCCAUGAGAUGGUAAAUUCUGAGCUCUGAACUCCAAUUCACAAAAGGAGAGAAUACAGCCUUCUGAAUAAAGCUAACAGAUCCCAGUGACACCUCUUCCCCCCCCCGCCUCCGCAAAAAAGUGAAAUAGGAAAAAAGAUGUGUGUUGUGUAAAACAUUUCCUAAGUAGAACUUUUUAUUCAACUAAAGAUAGGCAGAGAAAAUUGUUUUUAUUUGGUUUUAUAGGCACCAAAGAGUGACUGUUUUAAGAGUUAAUUAAAAAACUUGUACUGCCUCAAGGACUGACUAUACAUGCUAUUUUAGUUCUGUAUUAUAAAAUUAUGCCCUACUUGAAAAAAAUCUGCUUUUGUCUGGAAUGCUGUCCCCAUGCUUGGGAGAAGCUCCCCAUAAAUGUCCACAAAACUAAUGCAUUAUCCUUAAUGCAAAAUGCUCCUUAAAACUCUUUUGUUGCGAUGGCUACAAAAAGACCAGACAGCAUCUAGGCCACUCGUGCACUAAUAAAACAGCCUAUCAUGCUGACCACUAUUGUUUCAUUGUUUCC